AUUGAACGCUGGCGGCAGGCCUAACACAUGCAAGUCGAGCGGAUGAAGGGGGCUUGCUCCCUGAUUCAGCGGCGGACGGGUGAGUAAUGCCUAGGAAUCUGCCUAUUAGUGGGGGACAACGUUUCGAAAGGAACGCUAAUACCGCAUACGUCCUACGGGAGAAAGCAGGGGACCUUCGGGCCUUGCGCUAAUAGAUGAGCCUAGGUCGGAUUAGCUAGUUGGUGAGGUAAUGGCUCACCAAGGCGACGAUCCGUAACUGGUCUGAGAGGAUGAUCAGUCACACUGGAACUGAGACACGGUCCAGACUCCUACGGGAGGCAGCAGUGGGGAAUAUUGGACAAUGGGCGAAAGCCUGAUCCAGCCAUGCCGCGUGUGUGAAGAAGGUCUUUGGAUUGUAAAGCACUUUAAGUUGGGAGGAAGGGCAGUAAGCUAAUACCUUGCUGUUUUGACGUUACCGACAGAAUAAGCACCGGCUAACUUCGUGCCAGCAGCCG
rnacentral:rRNA from 1 species